UGUUCGAGCGUCAUUACAACCCUCAAGCUCUGCUUGGCCUUGGGCGUCACCGGCAACGGUGGGCCUCAAACCCAGUGGCGGUGCCGUCUGGCUCUAAGCGUAGUAAUUCUUCUCGCUAUGGUGCCCGGCGGAUGCUUGCCAGCAACCCCCAACUUCUUUUGGUUGACCUCGGAUCAGGUAGGGAUACCCGCUGAACUUAA
rnacentral:misc_RNA from 1 species